UUGACUCGGUCAAACUCGCAAAAAAACGGGUUGACUCGGUAAAAACGUAAAAAACGUAACGAUUCCACGAGUUAAUAAAAAAUUUCACUUUCACACCGUUUCACGCCUUCACGCUCACAGUUUCACUUCACCAAAAGGCAAACGCAGAGUUGCAGAGGGCAGACAAUUAGAAAUGCAAAAUUGCAAAGCACCAGUCUCUUUCCAGUUUCCAAGUCCCCAUCUCCCACUCUCCCCGUCUCCCUGACCUGACUCCUUUUCCCUUUCCCCUUCCCCCUUUCCCCUUUCCCCUUUCCCCAGCAAUUUAAGAAAUCAAUUUCCCCCAAUCUGGAGCGUUCUUGGCAAGACGAAGAUUCUGUAAUUUUGCAUAAACAACGAAGCAACGAAGCAGAUUUCCAGGAUUGCACUCUUGUCAAGGUCACUUUCCAUUAACUUUAACUAAGCUUCUUAAUUAUAUGUAAUUUGUCUACGUAUUCUGUGAAUGUGUUUAAUUGCUUGCUUGCUGUUUUUGUGUGUUGUAAUUUCUUGUAAUUAAGCUUCUUGAUUCUCGGUUCUCAAUGUGUUAAGGUCAGUCUUGGAUUGGAAUGCCUUUUGCAGUGCUUCUGUUGCUUUUUUGUGAAUUGUAAAUCGUUAGAUUACAUGUUGUCACCUGCCAUACUUCUGUAGUUUAAAUACUGGGAAACAAACAUUUCAAUUCCUUUGGCAAAAAUUUUACUUCCGAUUUUACGAUUUUA